CUAAAAACAGCUGUUUUGGUUUUAUUCAUCAUGGCUAUCGCACUGAAAUCAAGCGUUUUAAAGCCAUAUCAGUUUAAACUUCUGAAAUAUGGUUUUCUAAGCGCACAUAUCCG